UGAAAUAUGUGGUCGGUUCCAUUUUCUUCUCAGUCCUCAUGUCACCACGAAAGGAGGAUUCAGUCUCUUUUUAUCAAAACGCAGCAGAAUUUAAAUAUGUUUUUCUGUUUAUCACUUCUAAUAUAUUCGACGGAUUUUUCCUGAGAGAUCUCUUGCGCACUUGUCAAUGUCUCAUCGUCACCUUCAUGCGCUUCAGCUGCUGUUGCGUGUGAAAGGAUCUAAACUUGAGAGGAUGUUCUACAACAGAAAACACUCCAUGUUUCAACACAAUACUGGCAAACUGCAAGAAGGGAUGCAGAUCACAACCGGUGUAGCAGUUGGGACACUUUUCUAAGGAAGUGUACACCCUCGGGGCUACUGCAGUUCCAACAAUAACUAUAUUAAUGACACAAAAAUGAAGUAUCUUCCGGAGUUCUUCUGUUUGAGGAGCGCUGUGUUGACGGGUUGGAAGCUCCAUUGAUGAUGUCUGGAGGCAGUGAGUAUAAACAGCACACAGACACAGAAGUAUGGGUACAAACCAUCAGAAUAUUCAUCCAAGACUUCCUGUUAUUUUCGUUAAUACAUCGAAUUCAUCCUUUGUGUGCUUUGGAUGAACGUUUCCCUUAUUGUAGGUCUAUUUAUUUGGAUAACACACUUUAUUUGAGCAUGUACUGUAUUGCCUAAUGUGACACCAAACAAGUCUACCUCAUAUUGUCUGAUUUCAUUCUAUGUGUGAAUAUUUUAAAAUUAUAAUAAAUAA